rnacentral:rRNA from 1 species
GACGAACGCUGGCGGCGUGCUUAACACAUGCAAGUCGAACGGAAAGGCCCUGCUUUUGUGCGUUUCUCGAUUGGCGAACGGGUGAGUGACACGUGUGUAACCUGCCCUUGACUUUGGGAUAACUUCAGGAAACUGGGGCUCAUACCGGAUAUGAGCUCCUGCUGCAUGGUGGGGGUUGGAAAGUGUCGGCGGUUGGGGAUGGACUCGCGGCUUAUCAGCUUGUUGGGGGGGUAGUGGCUGACCAGGGCUUUGACGGGUAGCCGGCCUGAGAGGGUGACCGGCCACAUUGGGACUGAGAUACGGACCAGAAUCCUACGGGAGGCAGUAGUGGGGAAUAUUGCACAAUGGGCGGAAGCCUGAUGCAGCAACGCCGCGUGCGGGAUGACGGCCUUCGGGUUGUAAACCGAUUUCGCCUGUGACGAAGCGUGAGUGACGGUAAUGGGUAAAGAAGCAACGGCUAACUACGUG